GCCCUCGUAGCCCAAUCGGCAGAGGCAGCGGACUUAAAAUCCGCUCAGUGUGGGUUCGAGUCCCACCGGGGGCACCA
rnacentral:tRNA from 1 species